rnacentral:rRNA from 1 species
CGCAACCCCUAUCAUUAGUUGCCAUCAGGUCAAGCUGGGGACUCUAAUGAAACUGCCUACGCAAGUAGUGAGGAAGGUGGGGAUGACGUCAAAUCAGCACGGCCCUUACGGUCCAGGGCUACACACGUGCUACAAUGGCCGGUACAAAGGGCAGCUACCUGGUGACAGGGAUGCUAAUCUCAAAAGCCGGUCUCAGUUCGGAUCGGAGUCUGCAACCCGACUCCGUGAAGUUGGAUUCGCUAGUAAUCGCGCAUCAGCCAUGGCGCGGUGAAUACGUUCCCGGGCCUU